UUCCCCUAGUAACUGCGAGUGAAGCGGGAAAAGCUCAAAUUUAAAAUCUGGCAGUCUUUGGCUGUCCGAGUUGUAGUCUGGAGAAGUGUUUUCCGCGCCGGACCGUGUAUAAGUCCCCUGGAAUGGGGCGUCGUAGAGGGUGACAAUCCCGUCUUUGACACGGACUCCCGGUGCUUUGUGAUGCGCUCUCAAAGAGUCGAGUUGUUUGGGAAUGCAGCUCAAAAUGGGUGGUAAAUUCCAUCUAAAGCUAAAUAUUGGCGAGAGACCGAUAGCGAACAAGUACCGUGAGGGAAAGAUGAAAAGCACUUUGGAAAGAGAGUUAAACAGUACGUGAAAUUGCUGAAAGGGAAACGCUUGAAGUCAGUCGCGUCGUGCAGAACUCAGCCUGGCCUUGGCCUGGUGUAUUUUCUGCGCGACGGGCCAGCAUCGAUUUCGGUCGCUGGAAAAGGGCCUCGGGAAUGUGGCACCCUCGGGUGUGUUAUAGCCCGGGGUCGUAUGCAGUGGCUGGGAUCGAGGAAUGCAGCACGCCUUUAUGGCUGGGGUUCGCCCAC
rnacentral:rRNA from 1 species